rnacentral:rRNA from 1 species
UACGUAGGGGGCUAGCGUUGUCCGGAAUCAUUGGGCGUAAAGCGCGUGUAGGCGGUUCGGUAAGUCCGCUGUGAAAGUCGGGGGCUCAACCCUCGGAUGCCGGUGGAUACUGUCGGACUAGAGUACGGAAGAGGCGAGUGGAAUUCCUGGUGUAGCGGUGAAAUGCGCAGAUAUCAGGAGGAACACCGAUUGCGAAGGCAGCUCGCUGGGACGUUGCUGACGCUGAGACGCGAAAGCGUGGGGAGCAAACAGG